UACGUAGGGUGCAAGCGUUUAAUCGGAAUUACUGGGGCGUAAAGCGUGCGCAGGCGGUUUUGUAAGUCAGAUGUGAAAUCCCCGGGGCUUAACCUGGGGAACUGCGUUUGAAACUACAAGGCUAGAGUGUGGCAGAGGGGGGUGGAAUUCCCGGUGUAGUGGUGAAAUGCGUAGAUAUCGGGAGGAAUACCAGUGGCGAAGGCGGCUUCCUGGCCUGUUCUUGACGCUGAGGCGGCGAAAAGCUGGGGGGAGCAAACGGGG
rnacentral:rRNA from 1 species